AAGCAAGAAGAAAGAGAGAGAAGCUGAUCUGUGAACCAGGCGGAAGCUGCACAGCUUGUCGGAGGAUGGAAGGAACAUGAAACCAAAACCAGUUGAAUGGGCAAAGAAGCUGAAGAUACAGAUUUCCCUAUCCAGUUAAAAAUCUGAACCUCAGGAGACUCAUCUCAGUAAGGACUGAAAAGACUGCACAUUUUUUUAAUGGGAGAGCAAUCCAGCGAGCCUCCGGUGGACCAGAUAAGCGCAAUGUUGUUGAACUCAAGUCCAUGCUUGGUCCUUGGACUCGAGGGUUUUUUCUUGAAUAAAGCAAC